GUGGAUUAGAUACCCUGGUAGUCCACGCCCUAAACGAUGAAUACUCGAUGUUAGCGAUAUACCGUUAGCGUCUAAGCGAAAGCGUUAAGUAUUCCACCUGGGGAGUACGCCCGCAAGGGUGAAACUCAAAGGAAUUGACGGGGGCCCGCACAAGCGGAGGAGCAUGUGGUUUAAUUCGAUGAUACGCGAGGAACCUUACCCGGGCUUGAAAGUUACUGAAUGACUCAGAGAUGAGUCAGUCCUUCGGGACAGGAAACUAGGUGCUGCACGGUGGUCGACAACU
rnacentral:rRNA from 1 species